rnacentral:rRNA from 1 species
GUCCUUUUGUUUAUUGAUUUAAGGUCUGACCUGCCCAAUGAGGAAUUGAAUGGCCGCAGUAUUUUAACUGUGCUAAGGUAGCAUAAUCAUUUGUCUUUUGAUUGAGGGCUGGAAUGAAGGGUUGGACGAGGUAUUAGCUUUCUUUAAUUUAAUUUGAGGAAUUUAAUUUUUGAGUUAAAAAGCUUAAAUUUAUUUAUGGGACGAGAAGACCCUAUAGAUCUUUAUAGUUUUAUAUUUUAGUAAUUUGGGGAUUUAUGUAUUUUAAGUAAAUGAACUAUUUUGUUGGGGUGACUGUAGAAUUUUAACAACUUCUAUUUUGUAUUUUCAUUAAUUAAUGUUUUUGUGAUCCAUAAUUUAUGAUUAGAAGAUUAAGUUACCUUAGGGAUAACAGCGUAAUUUCCUCGGAGAGUUCAUAUUGAUGAGGGAGUUUGCGACCUCGAUGUUGGAUUAAAAUAAGUUAUGGAUGCAGGAGUCUAUUUACUAGGUCUGUUCGACCUUUGAAUUUUU